GAACUCACAACCUUGAGAUCAAGAGUCAUGUGCUCUGCCACUGAGCCAGCCAGAUUCCCCCAGGUGAAAACCUGAAGGGGACACAAAAAGAGUCAAUAAUCAAGAUAAACAAUAUUUUAAUACAAUAUUUUUAAAAUGAAAAUUAAUGCAUCAUACUUCAUGGUGAAUAAGACAUAUUUUGAAUGAAGAUGAAUCAAGGAUCAGUAAUAAUGCUGCGCUGAGCCAUAGUGGAGCCUUAGGCAAAAGGAAAAAUCAAGUACCGAACCUUAGUCUUCGCCCUGGGUUUGAACAAAUAAAAAUAACUUGAAAAGUUUCUUCCUACCCAGAGAGUCUGGAAAAUUAAGUCUGUUCACUUCUAAUUCUCUCCAGCAGAGGGCAGUGAUACCUAAGUAAACAGUUGGACACUUGCCAUCUCAUCCAUCAUUGUCGUCAUCAUCAUUAUUAUUGAAUUCUUGGAGUUACUUUAAAGGUUAAGAGUUUUUGCGUUGGAAAGAAUAUGUGCUGUGGAAAGUUCAUAUAACCGUGGGGUUGGAGGACCAGCAGACGCUGAUCAACCGCAUUACCUCAAGCUUUCUUUUUGAUAGAUACAUUGUUGCAGAUUGGAUUUGAAAUGUAGCCAAAUCCGGGACUUCUAAGCCACGUGGUAAAGAGCAGUCUGGAAUUUUGUGGGGCAAAUUUUUGGAAGGAGCAGUUAAUAUUCCUGCCUUUUCUUCUUUCAAUAUUACGAUGUACAGAUUUGGAAGGGAAACUGGACAUCCUGUAGAAAGAGAUCAUUUGCCAGAUGAGAAAACAAGAGCAAGAGAAGCUAUUUUAUUUACUGCUUAAUUCAUUUGUUCACCAAUUCAUUGUCCCAUUCAUUCAAGAGUUUCAUAAGCAUUUAUUGGCUACCAUAUGACAAGCACUGUGGUGGCACCAUGGACACAAAGACUGACAUAAAUCACCGUUCUCAUCUUUCAAGAACAACCAUUGGAGAGAAGGAAACACUGGCAGAAACAGAUACUUAGGAUACUUCGGUGUUUCCCAGAUGGAACAGCCUAUAUAAUAGUAUAUUAUGCAGCUCGACUUGGACGUAUAUCAAAACCCAUUAGCUUACUUUAAGAGCUCCACUGGGAAGAGGAGAAGGAGAGUCAUGAUGAAACUUACUCUUUGAAGAAGAAUUGCAACCAGGUCAAGACAAAUAUGUGGGAAAAACACCAUCUUUUGAAAUACUUACCAACUAUAUUUAAUAUUCUUGGAUUUCCGUUAGACAGUCUGAAGUAGAAAUUAGUGACGUAAUGAAUUACCAACUAAGAGAUGAAACUGAGAGGAGAAUGUUUAUUCUCAGCUCUGCCCCUUUUACUCAUGACACCUUGCCUGCUAUUAGAAGAAUAAUUGCUGUCUGUUUCAGUGUAAGCCCUAUAGGAUGUAAGACAGAGACCGAACCUUCAGCGCCGCCAUGCUGUAGGAAGGGGAAGCUGGCCAGAGCGGUAAGUGGAGCCCGGGACUUGAGCCAUGUCAAGAGUCUCUGACCCCUAAAUUCAACUUCUCGUUGGGUGUCACCUUCAUUCUUUCGGAGCACAGCCUUUCUCCAUAUGGCAGGAGACAUGACCACUGACCGUUGCUAAGAUUUACAUCUUUAAUUUCCCUCACGGGAGAGGGUUUGACUUAAGGUGCGUAGACUCAAGGAGUUAUGAAACACAUGCACACAGGCCUCCCCGUAUUGGGUGAAGUCACUCACUGAUUCAGGGUGGAACCCCCUCAGCCUUGGCCAGCGUGUGAGCUUCCUCCUCUGAGUACCUGCCACGUUCCAGGCAGGCCUUACCCGCGGCUUCACACACACGAUCUCCAACCGUGGGACUUGUAAAGCUUCCUGUUAUCUAUCACAUCAAAGAUCUGUCACAUCAAAGGUAAUGAUCUUUCUACUCACUUCUUACACCUGGGUAUAAAUUCUCUGGUUCCAUUGAAUUUGGUUCAUAAAUACCCAGGAAACGAAAACCCAAACGGUCUAAUUAAAUUGUGAUGCAUUCAGCUUCUCCUGUCAGAAAACACAGCAUGGGACUCGAAGUCGGGGAGUCCAUUAGCAACAUGGACAAAAUGGCAGACUCAGAGCCACAUCAUCAGACCUUGAGAGGGCUCCCCAGUUUCAUAAGGUGCCAUCAAUCUGAAUGAAUUAGAAGAUUAUUUGUUUAUUUGGAUUCUGUUUUGUCCAUGUAAGUAAGCCUAGGACACUAGCAAAAUGGGGCUGCACCUGGGGCUUGAGAUUAACUGUGAAAUUAAUUUAGCCUUGUUACGCAUGACUCUCGUUUGGUCAGAUAACCGAGAAUUACACUCUCUUCCCAAGGAAAGCACAGUUCUGGUUUGGGGGAGAUAACAGCUUUAAUGAAAGGAGAAGGGACAUGGAAUUUCAUAG